rnacentral:rRNA from 1 species
UGAGUGCGAGCUUCUACGGAAGCGAAGUUGGUGACGUCAAGCUUCCAAGAAAAGCCCUAUACCCGUUAAGGCAUGAUUACCUGUACCCGAAACCGACACAGGUGGGGUGGUAGAGAAUACCGAGGGGCGCGAGGUAACUCUCUCUAAGGAACUCGGCAAAAUGACCCCGUAACUUCGGGAGAAGGGGUGCCAGCGCGAGCUGGUCGCAGUGAAUAGGCCCAGGCGACUGUUUACCAAAAACACAGGUCUCCGCUAAGUCGCAAGACGAUGUAUGGGGGCUGACGCCUGCCCAGUGCCGGAAGGUUAAAGAAGUUGGUCAGCGCAAGCGAAGCUAACGACUGAAGCCCCGGUGAACGGCGGCCGUAACAAUAACGGUCCUAAGGUAGCGAAAUUCCUUGUCGGGUAAGUUCCGACCCGCACGAAAGGCGUAACGAUCUGGGCGCUGUCUCGGAGAGAGGCUCGGCGAAAUAGAAUUGUCUGUGAAGAUGCGGACUACGUGCACCCGGACAGAAAGACCCUAUGAAGCUUUACUGUAGCUUGGUAUUGUGCUCGGGCUCGCAAUGCGCAGGAUAGGUGGGAGGCUUUGAUCCAUUGCUUGUGGGUGAUGGUGAGCCACUGGUGAGAUACCACUCUUUGCGAGCUAGGGUUCUAACGGUUACCUGUCAUCCGGGAACCGGACAGUAUCUGGUGGGCAGUUUGACUGGGGCGGUCGCCUCCUAAAAGGUAACGGAGGCGCGCAAAGGUUUGCUCAGGCUGGUUGGAAAUCAGCCGACGAGUGUAAAAGCAGAAGCAAGCUUGACUGUGAGACCUACAAGUCGAACAGGGAGGAAACUCGGCUUUAGUGAUCCGACGGUUCUGAGUGGAAGGGCCGUCGCUCAACGGAUAAAAGUUACUCUAAGGAUAACAGGCUGAUCUCCCCAAGAGUUCACAUCGACGGGGAGGUUUGGCACCUCGAUGUCGGCUCAUCGCAACCUGGGGCUGAAGUCGGUCCCAAGGGUUGGGCUGUUCGCCCAUUAAAGCGGUACGCGAGCUGGGUUCAGAACGUCGUGAGACAGUUCGGUCCAUAUCCGGUGCAUGCGCAGGAAUAUCAGAGGAUUUCUCCCUAGUACGAGAGGACCGGGAGGAACGCACCUCUGGUGUACCAGUUAUCGUGCCAACGGUAAACGCUGGGUAGCCAUGUGCGGAGUGGAUAACCGCUGAAAGCAUCUAAGUGGGAAGCCCACCUCAAGAUGAGUAUUCCCAUGGCUUAAGCCAGUAAGGUCACGGGAAGAACACCCGUUGAUAGGCUCUAUGUGGAAGCGCAGUAAUGCGUGAAGCAGAGGAGUACUAAUAGACCGAGGGCUUGAC